rnacentral:rRNA from 1 species
AACCAGCACCUCGAGUGGUGAGGAGGUUUAUUGGGCCUAAAGCAUCCGUAGCCGGUUGUUUAAGUUUUCGGUUAAAUCUAUGCGCUUAACGUAUAGGCUGCCGAAAAUACUGGACAGCUAGGGAGUGGGAGAGGUACACGGUACUCGAUAGGAAGGGGUAAAAUCCUUUGAUCUAUUGAUGACCACCUGUGGCGAAGGCGGUGUACCAGAACACGUUCGACGGUGAGGGAUGAAAGCUGGGGGAGCAAACCGG